UAAUCAUGUCAUCAAUCAGAUAGUAAACAAUCAUUAAGAUGGCCUCAAGAUUAUAUUUCACAGUGACCAACAUGAAAAAUUUUAAAUGGGAGUUAGUUGAUGGCAUUAUAGUUUUCUAAUGCUAUAUAAUUUUGUUCAUCAAGGUGAAGAAACCUUAACUCACUAUACCUUUUCCUGUUACAGAGCUAUGGUAGUAAUCUUAGAAGAUUUUCAUGAUCCCUCUAUUCAGUAGUUCUUUAACCAGUCUAGUAUUAUGACUGUAUUAUGUUAAAUAGCCUUGUGUGACUUUUGUAUUUUGUUUCUUUAAUAAUAUUUACAAUGAUCAAAAUUACAGUUUAAUAUUUGUAUUUCUAAUGAUAAUUACUUGCACAUAUCCAUCACACUUCUCUCUUACUAUUAAACUUAUUACUAUCAUGCAAGUAAAAUCUCUUGGGAAAAAUAAAAUGUUGUCCCAGGAUAGUCAUAAAUAUCAGCUAGUAAAACUAAUGAAUAUACCUAUAAUCAUGUACAUAUGACUAUCAUAUAAUAUGUUGUUAUUCCUUUAAGUGUUUCCAAUUAAAUAAAUUUCUAUUUUCAGUUGUUCAUUGUUCAAACUAAUUUGAAACCUACAGUAUAUGUAGUUGCUAUGAUUCAGAUUAAUAUCCAAAAGUGUGCCUUUUACUUCAGUUAAACUCCUCCCUAAUACAGACACUUUAUUGUGCCACUCCAAUGUUCAUUCAAAGUGAUCCAACUGACAUCUGAGCUGGUGAUAACAUACAGCAAAGUAUUGGAAGUACGAGUAUAUCAGAUAAGUUGUUCAUUCAGUCAAGACCUUCAG